rnacentral:rRNA from 1 species
UGGGGAAUAUUGGGCAAUGGGCGAAAGCCUGACCCAGCGACGCCGCGUGGGUGAUGAAGGCCUUCGGGUUGUAAAACCCUUUCGUGCGGAAAGAAUAGUCUCGUAGCGAAUAACUACGGGAUUUGACGGUACCGCAGGAAGAAGCACCGGCUAACUCCGUGCCAGCAGCCGCGGUAAUACGGAGGGUGCAAGCGUUGUUCGGAAUUAUUGGGCGUAAAGGGCGCGUAGGUGGUUGUGAUAGUCAGAUGUGAAAUCCUUCGGCUCAACCGAAGAACUGCAUCUGAAACUUCAUAGCUCGAGUACAGGAGAGGGAGACGGAAUUCCCGGUGUAGAGGUGAAAUUCGUAGAUAUCGGGAGGAACACCAGUGGCGAAGGCGGUUUCCUGGCCUGAUACUGACGCUGAGGCGCGAAAGCGUGGGGAGCAAACAG